rnacentral:lncRNA from 1 species
CUGAUGUUCCCUGCAAGGUAAUUAAUGCAAUUUAGGAAAAAGGAGAAUGUUUUGCUUGAAGCCCACACCUGAGUGGUGAGCCAUCAUCUAGCUGUUGUCCUGCAGAGGCAACUCACUUUGAAACUGUGCUCUGGCUCAGUCCUCUCCACUACCCACUGUGUCCACUUCAUCACUCAGCUCUCCACUAUCACGGACAGGAGGACAGACCCUGUCACACUGCUGCCACUCGUGCUGCUUUCACUGUGCUCACCCCUUCUGUCUUCGUGUCACCAUGUGGAGCAAGAGGGAAGUCUUCAUCAGUAUUCACUCUCUGGGCACACUGCAGAAUGUUUGAAGACUGCAAUUUAUCCCGUGAAACUGCACCUGAUGCUGUAUUUCUGUCUUCUCCUGAGUUAGCAGCGUAUUGUUACACAAAGACUUGUAAGAACUGUAAUCACUCACAAGAAUGAACAGUGAUGGCAAGGUUCCGUCUGGGUGAGAGAUGCUCUGGGCACAGGGUGGUGGAAACACGCUACUCUCUCACCAUGUCCCUAAGAGCCAGUUCACCUCAAAUAUUUCUCUCUCCCUGACCCCCAUGUCUCACUUGGAGAGAUUUCCCAAGGAACACUCUUCUGUUGAGCUACUGAAGGCGAUUAGGUGAGAGAUGAGUGCUGUGAGUGAGAGAGCUGACCUGGGGCAGAGGUCAUGACUGAGAUGUUGGAAGGCACGAUGGCAUGAGGGAUGGAGGAGAAAGGCCUUCCCUUCUGGUGGCCAGGGACUGUCAGAGCAGACUGGCUGCAUCAUUGGUCUAUGUCCUUAUCAGCAGUCUAUUACUUCUGCAGUUAGCUGAAAUGUUGGAGAAGUCUGUGGCCCAAUUACUUAGCAACAGCAAAUGUCAUUUACGAGGUAUUUGUAAAUAA